rnacentral:rRNA from 2 species
AUGGCUCAGGAUGAACGCUGGCGGCGUGCCUAAUACAUGCAAGUCGAGCGAAUGGAUUAAGAGCUUGCUCUUAUGAAGUUAGCGGCGGACGGGUGAGUAACACGUGGGUAACCUGCCCAUAAGACUGGGAUAACUCCGGGAAACCGGGGCUAAUACCGGAUAACAUUUUGAACUGCAUGGUUCGAAAUUGAAAGGCGGCUUCGGCUGUCACUUAUGGAUGGACCCGCGUCGCAUUAGCUAGUUGGUGAGGUAACGGCUCACCAAGGCAACGAUGCGUAGCCGACCUGAGAGGGUGAUCGGCCACACUGGGACUGAGACACGGCCCAGACUCCUACGGGAGGCAGCAGUAGGGAAUCUUCCGCAAUGGACGAAAGUCUGACGGAGCAACGCCGCGUGAGUGAUGAAGGCUUUCGGGUCGUAAAACUCUGUUGUUAGGGAAGAACAAGUGCUAGUUGAAUAAGCUGGCACCUGACGUACCUA